CACAAAGCCUGUUUGGUGGUCUCUUCAUAUGGAUGUGUGAGACAGUUUUCCUUUCUAAAAUUCUUAUUGCAGCCCAAGAAAUGGGCAGUAACCUGGUGGCUCUCCCAGUUGGCUCUCACCAACUUUCCCAAAACCUUCGCCUGCUUUGUUCUCUCCAUGGGAGUAAGCUAUCACAGCCACCCAGUCUGAAAUUAAGGUCACUGUACCCUUGAUUUCAAGGAAGCUCAAAGAUGCUAAAGACCUUGGAAAUUUCUGGGCUUUGGGAAUCUGUUUCCACUCCAUGACUUCAGAGAUGACCUCAAGCACUAGAGGUUCUAAUGGUGGAGGAGAAGUCAUGGGGUUUGAAGAGGGCAGGCUAAGGCAGUGGUCUUGACGCCAACUUGUCCUUUUUCCUUCAGGGGAGGGUGAAGAACACCUUGUUCUAUGACAGAUCUCUGUUGCAUAAGAAAAAAAAUCAGGUGUGGCCCACAUAUAAGUGGAUAGCAACUUUAUUUAGUUUACUUUUCCUCAGAGAGAAAUAUAGAGUAUUGUGCUGACCCACGUAAAAGAAGUUUAUUCUUUAUAUAAAUAAAGUGAACUUGUUAUAGAGUAUCUGAAAAAUGUUUUUGGUUAUUUUCUUUUGGUCUUUUUUUUUUUUUGGUCCUGUAUAGAGUUUCAGUUUUGUAUCCAAAGUUGGAUCACCCACUAAAAUGUGACUGCUUCAGAGUGAUGUUGCAUCUCCCCCAGGAAAAGUGAAAUUCCCUCAUUGCACACCUCACUGUGUGUUCGUCUUCCUCUCCAUGCUGCUUAUUGCAAUAACAAUUAAAUCUCUAUGAAGACAACUAUUCGCUUAAUUGUGUAACUCCCCUGGAACUACAGUAUUCAGGAUGGUAGCUACUAGACACAUAUGGCUGUUUACUUUUAAAUUAGGUGAAAUUAAAGAAAAUUAACACUUAGCUCCUCUGUUUCACUAGCCACAUUUCAAGAGCCACAUAUGGCUGGGUGACUACCAUCUUGGACAGCGCAGAUCUAGAACAUUUCCAUUAGAGAAAGUUCUGUUGGAUAGUGCUGCUCCAGACAGUACACUCCCAUGGCAUGGGACUCCUGUGGUCCUUACCUGUCUGUGUCAGUGAGUAUCCUAUGCACUUGUAAUCUGAGAAUCUAGGGAAACUUCGGAAAUGCUUUAUUUCUAAAUUAUGGCCAAUUAGAAAGAGGCAGAUGGUGAGGAGAGAAAAAAAAGGCUUUCAGAAGAGCCCUGUGUGACAAUGGUUGGGGGUGGGGGUUACACAGUUCUGGGCCUCACAUGGCACAAUAGUUGGCCAAGAUUCUGCAACUGCAGAGUGCUAAAAAAAAUCAAUGUGUCUAGUUGGAAAACUGUGGGAAUGGGACUGCCUUGAAAUCCCCUUGCAUCAUUUUCUGAGAGGUCCGAAGCAUGGAAGCCUUUGGAGAAGAGGCGUUAUCAACCUGCUCAUCCAGGAGACUAGAUCCCAGGGUGGGCUGUAAGCUAUCAUUGUGGUCUAGACACUGUACCCUGUGUUUCCACCUGGACUGGGACAACUGGUGCCUGUUUUCUGCAGGAGCUCAGAGCUGAGCAGUCCCUGCCCCUGUGUCUUACCUGCUGGAUGCAUUGGUUUGUAACACCCUGUAAUGCUGCUUGAUUCUCUGCUCUCUAGAGCUGCCAUCGGAGUCCUGUCCUGGAGGCACAGGCUGCCUUUUCAAUGGCAUCUGCCACUAUAUAAUGUGAGCCUUCCUCAGCUCCAGUAGGGUCCAGUGGCCAGAUCUGGGUGGCUGGCAGCUUGGCUUUUUGAGAAAGGAAAUCAAUCAGGACAGGCCCUUGACUUUGUUUCCCCAGCAUGCCUUCCUCCCCUCCUCCACCCUUCUUCAGGCAUAGGCUGAAUAAGGAAGGGAGCAAGUCUACAAGGAUAUUUGAGUGGGUUAGGCUGUCCUCCAGAGUGUCAGGGCAGGGGAGGGCAAUGCUUAGGGUCCCAGCCCAGCCACUAGGGUUGUAGCUAGAGCAGUUCAAAGAAGGUUACCUAGAAAACACUACUUGAAAUAAACACCACCUGUAUGCAAUGUGGGAGAGGAAAUGGGGAUAGUGGGAAAGAGUUGUAGGCCAGAAACGCUAGCCAGUGGAAAUCAGACUGGAAGGUCAGGCCAGAUAAAAGGGUGCAGAAGGACUUAAGGACCAAGGUGGCCUGUGCCAGUGCCAACUUCUUACAAAGGACUGGGGCCAAUUAUUCCAUUUGGAUGGAAGCAGCCCCAAGCAUGUGGGACAGAAUGGUCUCAUGAGGAGUGCUUGGCAGUGAUAUAGAUGAAGAUGCCUAGAAGUGCAGACCAAGCCUUUUUAGGUCAUCAGCCAUAUCAGUUAGAAUUAGGUUUAGCAGCAGGGACAGUAUAAUGAAUGGCUUAAGCAAGAUAGAAGUGUAUUUCUCUCUCAAAUUCAGGAAGUCUGGAGUUAAGCAAUCUGGGACUGGUCUAGCUCUUCCAGGAUCACAGGCCUGGGCCCUUUUUAGCUUGUUGCUGUCAUCCUCAGCCCGAGCUUUCUGAUUUGUGGUCUGAAAUGGCUGCUACAGCUCCAGUCAUUAUGUGUGCGUUCUAGCCAGCAGGAAGGAGGAUGGAGAAGCAUAUAUCCCUUUUCUUUAAGGACAAUUCUGAGGAGUUACAUAUACCACUUUCUCUUACAUCCUACUGUCCAUACUGUAGUUACAUAGGCGCACCUAAAUUUAAGGGAAGCUGGGAAAUGUAGUCUUCUUUCUGGGAAGCCACAUGUCCAGCCAUAAUUUGGAUGUUCUGGCUAGCAGUCUCUGCCAUGACAGUUAAUAUAAAGUAUAUUAGUAUGAGUGAAAGUGUAGAUGAAGCAUCUGUUGUUCACCAGGAAAACAUCUAUUGUAAUUAGCAAAGAAGGUUUGUAUUUGUGUUGAAUUUUCUGCCAUCAGCAUAGAGAUCUAUUCAUUGAAUUUACAUGUACUGCCUUGGAUAAGAAACUUUUAGCCUACAAAAGUGGAGCUGGUCAAGCUGGGAAAAGUGAUAAAUUGUGCAUGUGUUUAUUCUUGUGUGCCUGAGGCUUACUGCAUUCAGAACUUGUUUAGAUGUGCAAAGUCAUUAUUGAUGGAGAGGAGUGAAUGAUUUUGUGCAGAUGGGCAGGAGGCCUUUAGAGACCUCCCCUCUGGCAAAUAGGGAGGGUCUGGCCCAGGGACCCCAGGAGGUCCAGAUGUCAGAGGGCAUGGAGGCCAUGAAGAGGUUCCUGUAAGCACAGUGGCAGGGGUCAGAGGCUGGCUGGGACAAGUAGGUCUUUGUGUUGGAUGGAGCAGUUUUGUCUUAGUGCUUGGUGCCUUCCGAAUGGGUGUUGGAAAGAUGUUUUCUUGUGGCUUGGGAUGACAGAGGCUGUCUCUCUCUUUCUUCUGCCUACUGCAGUCUCACUAGGGUGUCCCAUGCAGUGCACUGGAACUGAAGGCAAGGACAAGAUUGAUUGGAAAUGUCAGCUUGUACUCACUUUUGCAGCUGAGCCAUUCAAACUUUUGGAGCUGCAGAUUGCAGCCUGUGCUGGCUUUAUUUGUGCAACUAUUGGCCGUACACAGUGUCACAUAGUGAUUUGAAAUGAUGGCACAUUUAGAAAAUCUGGGAAAUGAAAAAUGGUAAAGGUCUGUCCUGGCACCUUACAUCAUGAGGUAGGACUAUUCUGGAAUCCCCAAGCCCUUUCCACCAAAGGAGUUUGGAACUCAGAGUCAUAAGAUAGGGCCUGGAGUCCUGGCUCAGCCAUUUACCCUCUGAGCAACUUGGGAGUUCCAGGCAGAGGGAAUGACACAUGCAAGGGGCUGUCAGUGUGAAGGAGCAUGGUAUGUUCCAGGAAUGGUAGACAGAGCAUACAUAUAGGGCAGGCUGAGAGGCUGGAAGGGCUGCCUUGAAUGCCAGGCUAAGGAAUUUGGACUUCCUAAGGAAGUACUGAAUGAAUUUUAGGCUGGGGAGGGAUAGGAUCAGAUCUAUGUUAAUACUGUUCACCCCAGUUGCAGUGUAGAGGAUGGUAUAGAAGGGAAUGUAUGGAUUCAGGGAGAUGGCUUAGAACCCUAAGAUUCAUGGUAGCAGGGUCUCGAGCAGGGGCUUGCUUGGACAAACACGUCCUGUGGAGCAGGUUUGUCUUAACUCUCGAUGUCUUUCUGAAUGGGUAUCAAAGAGGGGCUUCCUGCAGCCUGGAUGACAGGGGCUGCCUUCCUUUGUUUGUGGGGAGGGAGGCAUGCCUGGCAACUUCACAGAGGCCCAGGCCAUGGGCAUUGCCAGAAGCUGGGAAAGAGCCCUGGGCAUCAGGCUGAGCAGGCCAUGCUGAAGAGAGCCACCCCAAGUGCCUGGUCCCACGGGCCUUAUUAUCUGCAGCUGGCUUUGAAUGCUCUUUGCAUCAUUCACUGUCUAGGGGCCUUGCCUGAGCCUGAUUUUCCACGAAGUAGGUCAGGAGCUCCUCUGUGGCCGCCUCCACCCCCACCCUUCACUCCAGCCUUCAGGAAAGAUCUGUCUCACCCAGAACUAGGAGAAGUUAGAGGACCUGGGUUCUGCCCAUUGGAAGGCAAAGGAAUGCACAUGUUAUUAGGACCUUGUUCCAAAGCAGUGGCUAUCAUUUAUUGUGCACCUACUAUGUGUAUGCACAAGGCUAAAUACUUUCUGUACAUUUCUCAUUUAAUCCUCCCAGCAGCUCUUCAACAUAGGCAUUAUUAUUCGCAUCCUUCAUAUUAAUCAGUUUAAAAGUAGCAGCCAAGCUGUGUUUGUGUUUGAAAAUGUCUGGCCAGGCGGUCCGCCUCCCAGAGAGGCAUCAGAAAUGAAAAUGACAAGAGUUAAAAAAUAAAAAUAAAAAAAAGAAGACUCCAUAUCCACCCACCUACCCAUCUAUCCAUUCAUCCAUACACAUCCUCCCAUCCACUUACUUAUCUACCCACCCACACACCCACCCACCCAUCCAUCCAUCUGACUGAAAAUUGAUCUGAGUGCCUGCUCUGUGCCAGGUCCUCGGAGAAUUUAUAAGGGAGAAGGAUGAGAAACCUGGAAGACAUCAUCGACAUUCAGGGUAUCUACUGCAGUAGAUACCAAGGCCUGUUUGGGGAAUAGGUGUAUUUGUAUGGUUAGAGGUCAGAGUAUGUGGACAGUGGAUAACACCAGGUGGGUUGGCUGGAUCUAGGUUGGGAAAGGCUUUGAAGGCGCAGUCAAGAUUUUGGGUUUAUCCAGUGAGCAAUGGGAGCCAUCAUACCUUUUACAGCAUUGCAGAGGCAGAAUUUGAUUUGCUGAGGACUAUAGAGACAGGAUUGUAGAUUCUGAGAUGAUGAGCACUGGGAUGUCCUCAAGUGCAGGCAAGAGAUGAUGUGACGGAGCCUCAGGCAGCAGGUGGGCGUGGUUGGCACAGAGAGUGGAAGGCAGAAGUGGAGAGAAUAAAGAGGCAGCAGUGGCAGGAUCUAGUGCAUGGGGAGGAUGCGACAGGGAGCCCUGAUGGCCUCAGGUCCUGGCUGGGUUGACAGGGGCAUGGAGGUGGAGCAGGUGUCCACGAAGGCAGAUGGGAUGGCUGGGUCUCCUCCCUGUGUACCCCAUCUUCCAAAUAUGAUGUGACUCAAGGGUAGCUCAAACAACUGGCUCACUUUGGGCUUGUAAGCCUUCUCAGGGAUACCAGGGCUCACAUUGUGUCACAGAUGCCUGGGAAAGGAAUUCACAGUGGCAGCUUGGCUGAGGGGCUGGGGAGAAGAGGGGCCUAGUCCUGCUUGUUUGCCAAUGUUCUAAAGCUGGGAACCUCCCCAGGGUGUCUCGGCUCCUGGAGAAGUUAGGUCUGUUCUUUUCUGGGGUGCUGUGAUGUGCUCCCCACCCCACAUUUUUCCUUGCAUGCUAGUUGAUGCUCUGUAUGGAAGUGCUUGUCAUUCUGAUGCGGGCAAAAUGACCACACCCCCCUGGGAUCCAGGCCUUCCCUUGGGCACUGCAUCUCUGCAGGUAGCUCAGGACAAUGCAGAAUUUCAAAUACCAUCCCCCAGGGAGCUUCUCCAGCCUUCCCUUCUGUUCCUUUCCCUGGCUUGGCUGUCCCCUGCGUGAAGGACUGACCUUUACACAGGCACUCUAGCUGCUAAAACCUCUUUUGAUGGGAAAACCCUUUUUAGUGGUUUUUUUUUUUUUUAGUCCUGUGGCAACUGCUGCUUGGGAUGGUGGAGGACCACCUGCCAACAAGGUGAUUUUUUCUGAGAGAUGAGCCAGGAUUUCAAGGAGUGUGGCUUGGAUACACUGUGUACAUGCUUAGCUGAAUGUGGCCUGCAUACCCGCCACAGGUGGGUGUGGUUGGCAUAUAUAUUCACAUGGCUGCACACGGACACGCAGCUUGGAAUUUCCCAUCACAGGGUUUGGCUCCCGGUGUGGGACAGGUGACCCAGAGGCCAUGGGAGAAGGAAGGCCUCUUUCCUGAGUCCUUGCCUGCUAGCAGAAUAUCUGCAUUUUUUCCUUCUAUUUAGACUAAGGCUGGUUUCAGCUGUUGCCUUUUCCAUCUAAGUGCUCUUUACCUUUAUGAAAGAGCAUUCAGAGAAGCAGCAUGGAACGGUGGAAAAAGCAGAAGCUGUGCAACUGGUCAAGUCUGACUUGCAAUCUUGGCACUGGGGCCUGCUAUUCGUGUGAACUUGAGCAAGCUACUUUAACUCUCUGAGCUCCCUUUUAUCAUCUGUAAAAUGGGAUGACAGUCAUGCUUUCUCCCUCACAUGGUUAGGUAGUUGGAAAGAUAGCACAGGAAUGAAAUGAUCUGAUACUCUGUAAUUAUUUGGGUGAGGUUCAGGAAGGCAGAGUAGUGUAGUAAUUAAGAACUUUGCCUCUGGAACCAGGUAGAGCAGGGAUCCUAUCCCAACUGUGCCCCUUACAAGUUGUGUGGUCUAGUGCAAGUUACUUAGCCUCUCUGGACUUUAGUUUCCUCAUCUGAGCAAAGUCAUAGGUUUCUUUCAUAGCACCAGACCAGUGUUUCUGAGUGUGAAUUAGAGAUGGGGCGCUUGAGGAAAGUGAAGAUUCGAUUUGGAGGGUGUGGCCAGGUGAUUUUCAUAGCAUGCACACCCAAGUUCAAGAAUUGUGAUGCAUUUAGGACAAAUACCUAAUGCAUGCAAGGCUUAAAACCUAGAUGAAGGGUUGUGGGUGAGGAAACCACCAUGGCACAUGUAUACGUAUUUAACAAACCUGCGCAUUCUGCACAUGUAUCCUAGAACUUAAAAAAAAAAAAAAAAAGAAUUAUGAUGCUUGAUGGUUCGCUUUCUAAGAGCAGGAGCCAUGUCUGUGCGCUUCCCACUGUACCCCAGUGCACAGCAUGGCUUCAGGCAUCUGCCAAGGGCUCACUAAUUUUCGUUUGAAUAAACGAAUUAUAUGACUUAAUGUACCCAAAACGCUUAGCAUAGUGACUAGCACAGAACUAACACAGAAGGAGCUGAGCGGUUAUCAGCGUGUUUCAUUAUUAAUAACAGGGAUGGCCUAUUUCUGAAUAUAAGUCAGCAGCACCUAGCACUCCUGGCUUCCAGAGCAUAUUUACUCCCACUUGUGUAUACUGAAGGCUGGGUCCCCUCAAUGUCCAUUGCAAUGUGCUUGGUUUCCACUGUGGCCGACCAUCCAGAGCUAGGCCUAAUUUAUACUCUCUUGAACAAAGGAGACCAGAUGUCCCACACCUAUGGGGUCCUGGCUAGACCCAUCUGCCAUUGAUUUCUUGCCUCUGGAGGGGCUGACACAGCCUGGGGACCUUCAGUGUUGACGAGGAAGCCUUGUGCACACUGUUGCAGGGCCCAAAAAUCCAUUUUUAUUAAGUUUGUAGGUUAUCGUGACAGAGGACUGGACUGGCUUUUUAUUGUUCAGGUUUCUUGGCUUGGGCCUGGAGUGAGGAAGUGACUUAGGAAAGGCCUUUCCUGUGUGAGGAAGAGCAAGUAUUACCAGAAGCCAUUGGAGCCCAGAGCACCAGAAGAGGAAAUGGGAGCAAUACCACACCCACCCACUGUGGCACAUUCGGGGCCCCAGUCACAUCACCGAGCCAUGGGAUGUAGGAGUCAGUGAUCUUAGCUGGCCCCUCACUUUGCAGAUGUAAAAGCCUAGGUCCUAGGAGCAGAUGGGAUUUGCACCAGGUCAGUGGGUGGCGAGGGGAGGAGCAGAGGCUCUGAUGUGCUUGGCACUGAAGCCAGGCCCUUUCCACCAUUCCAUGCAGCCCUGCCCUUCCCCACAACACUGGCCCCUGGCAUGCCGUGCACCAUUUCCCCACAGUGGGAAAGACUCCAGCAGCACUUGGUGAAUGGUGUCCUGUGCAGAAGCCAGGCCCUUGGUGGGUGGUGAGGACGGUGGGGACAGGGUAGCAGAGAAGGGACAUCUCCGACCUGAAAUGGGUGGCAUGCCCAGUUCCAGAGUGGGUCUGCAUUGAGGCUCCUUUGUCCUCACCACGUCCCCGUCACUCCAGCUGAGGUGGCCUAAGGAUUCCUGCUAUGAGGGAAUGAAGCUAAGACAGUGGACACCUAUGCCACAAAUUCUACUUACUCUCAAGGACCCCUUCAGAGGGGUCUGCACCCAACAACUUGCAGUGGUCACAGAUCAGCCUGGCUGGAAUCAACAACUUUCCGAAAUGAGGCUCUAGAAACAUCCAAGACAUUAUAACCAUUUGGCAGGCUCUGUUCCCUAAGUGGCAGAGAUAGAAAGACCCGAGAAGCUGGCGCCUUCUUAAUAAUAGUAACUAACACUGACCAAGCGCUUUCCAUGCACCAGAUCCUUCCCAAGUACUUUAGACACACUGGUGCAUUUAGUGCCUGCAACAACCUUGUGAGGAAGGUCAUAUCAUUCACUCUUUUUCCACACAGUGGAAAAGGCUGCAGGGUUCCAUGCACCCUGCUCCUCAUCCACGAACUAAUGGAUCCUUCUCAACCACUGAAACUUAGUUACUGACCAUUAAACACUUUGCCCAAAGGCUGAAAGAAAGGCUGUGGCUGAGUCUUAGAAAGCAAAGCAAAGCAAAACAAAACAAAAUCUUAGCACCAAAGUGUUGGAAAGUGCUGUCAAAAGCAGAUCGAUCAGAAAUAACGAAGAAAGGGGCUCUUAGACUAUAAAGGAACUCAAAAGCAAACUGAAAUUUGCUUUACACAAAUGUGGUACACGCAGAGAGGUGACCAAGGUUACACAACUAGAAAGUAGCAGAGAUUUGAACCCACACUGCCUAACUCCAGAAUCAAUGCUCUUGACCUCUUUACUCUACAUUCUCUUUUUGACACCUAGUUCCUUCUUCUUUGAGCUUGGCAUGACUGUUUUCUGGAACAAGGACGUGGUAGGAAUUAUUCUUUGCAUGUGAAAAGUGAGAAGCACGUGAUUAUUUCUUCAUUCAUUCAUUGAAGAAUUGCCUGUGCCAGCACUGUGGCCUUUGCUGGGAUGGAUGGUACAGGGUGGAGACAGAUAUAUAAAGAAACAUGCAGACAACGUGGAAGUAGGAGUGAUCUGGAGAGGAGGUCCAGGUUGCUAUGGUAGUACGGAGGCAUCUGUCCAUGCCUUGCUCUAUCUGGUAGGGAGAGGGGCUGAGGGAUAGGCUAGAUCUACAAGGAGGGGAGCUCUGAGUGAGAUGAUGGCUAUUCCUACAGUUUUGUUUUGCUUUGGUUUGUAAGACCCAGCCACAGCCUUUGGGCAAAGUCUUUAAUGGUCAGUAAAUAAGCUUAAGUGAUUGAGAUGGACCCAUUAGCUCGUGGGUGAGGAGCGGGUGCGUGGAACCCUCUGCAGCCUCCCCAGUGGGCAGUUUCCCUCUGUGUUCCCAGCAAUCCAACAUCGUGGUUGGUUGACUCCUUCAUAUUUACAGCGGGGUCUCUGGGGUCUUCUGAAGGGUGGGGGUGAAGCUCCUCCUGGGUUUGACUCAUGUCUAUACUUGCUUUGCCUGUGGUUCUCCUGCAGGAGGUUGUGGCCAGCGAGGUGUGUCAGGACAGCUAAGGGUGGCCAGGCUGAGGGACAGCAACCUGCUCACUCUUCAGGAGAGGCCUCUGGGCUUGGCUUGUGCUCUAGGCUCACAUGGAAAGUUCCAGAAGGACAGGGUAGUCUAAGCAUCUUUCUCUGGGGGGGCUUGGCUGAAGGAAGGAAUCCUCAAGGCUACUAGCCACACUUUGGAGCAGCAGAGGUGUGCCAGUAAGGAAAGGGGACUUACUGGCAUCAGGCCCUUGAGAGGGAGCCUUGGAUAUCAGAUCUGAGGGCAGAGCCCUGUGCUCCAGAUGCGUUUGUGGGUAGGGCUGGGGUGCCAGCCCAGGAAGGCUUUAUGUGUCAGACUAAUGGAUUAAGACAGGAUCCUGCAAGCCUUGGAGAGCCAUGGAAGAAUUUUAAGUAGAAAGUGGCAUGACGAGGUUUAUGGUCUAGAAAGAUCACCCCAGCUGCAGGCGGAAGGUGGAUGGGAGGGAUGAGGCUGAAGGCAGGGAGCCUGGCUGGGAAACCACUUGAAGAGCCGGGAGAAGUACUGAAGGUGGAGACCUUCAUGAUAACAGUGGCGAUCAAGGUGGAGUUUGAGGAAGCCCUGGUGGCCAGUUGGGUAUGGGAGGGGAGAGAGGUAGAGGAGUUGGGAUGAUUCUGGGUCUAACGUGUGCAUGAAAACACAGGCAAUUAUUCAGAGGGCACUGGGCUGGCGCUGAUUGGUAAGGGAGGGUGAAAGAACUUGUAGGUGCAGAGUUGGGCAGUGAGAAACAUCAGCAGCCACAGUGUCAUCCCCAUUAAUCUCAGCCAGUGGGGAACACUGUGGUCUGAGAAGUAGAUGUGGGACGUGCAGGGAAGUGUAGUGUUUGCCCCUGUUUUAAUAGGAGCAAGAGAGCAUCACUUUAAGUAAUUCUAUUUCUGUUUUCCAAAGUACCACCAUCAAAGAAAAGAGAAUCACAACAUUGCACAAAUCUUUUAGAAAUUUGGAUGCGUUUUACAGGGUUAAUAUAGGCUGGGAGGAUUUUCUAACCCAUUUUCCCUCUGACAACCCAGUGUCUGAAUAGACAGCACCACCACCAUCUACCUUCCUGCCAAGUACCUAUUUCUGUCUGGGUCCUUGAAGACCUGGUGUGUGACACACAUUUCCGCUGAGUCUAAUGUGUUGCCGUGAUGAGAGAGUCAUACAGGGAUGAAGUUGUAUCAUUCGGCGCUUGUUGAGGGUGCCUUUUUGAACUGCAUAUCUCAGUAGAGGUGGCAGGAAAAAUCACAAAACAUCACCCCCAAAUCGCAGGGCAGGCCAAGGGAAACUUGUAGAGGCAAGAUCAGGGAUCAGUUUUCAGGGUCAAAGUGUGCUCUAAUUCUGGUAGCCCCUCAGUGCAGCCUCCGUAUUACUCAUACGAUUGCCAUGAUUCCAAAGUUUCUAAUGAAACUUGGUCAUGAAAUGAGGAACAGCAGUGUCUCCUAUUGGUAAGGUGUCACCUGCAGCUCUGCCAGCUCUUCAGUAUACACAGUGUGGGUAUGGACAAAACAAACCCAAACCACCCAGGGCCCUUGCCAUGCUAUUGUCCUAGCAUCAGGGAUGUGGGAGUCACAAGUUUCCAUGGCAACGAGGAAGAGAAACAUUUAUCCUGCACCUUCCAGGGUCCUUUGACAAGGUUACAAGGACUCUGUCUAAGCCCUUGAGAAGAUGGCUUGCUAAGGAGACAGAACUGACUAUCUCUGUUUUGAAAGUAUUGACAUGGAGGUGAGAAGAGUUUUUAGAACCACAAAAUAUGUUUAGAAUAAUCCAGUCCAACGCCUUCAGUUUUUAGAAAAAGAAACCGAGGCCCAGAGAGGUGGUGGUGGGUGGGGCUGGGGUGCCAGCCCAGAGGCCAGGCUGCAAGUGCCAGACUGGCAUCGGGGUCCCCUGUGCAGCUUCCUCUCCCCCGCCUUCCAUUGGUACUGGAAAUCCAGGUGCCCUUUACCCCUGCAAGGCACUGUGUCUGGAAACCGUAUAUCACAUUUGUUUAAAGCAUAUUCCAGUUUGCCUUUGACUUCCUUUAUUGUCUAAGAGCCCCUUUCUUCCUUAUUUCUGAUCGAUCUGCUUUUGACAACACUUUCCAACAUUUUGGUGCUAAGGUUUUGUUUUGUUUUCCUUUGCUUUCUAAGACCCAGUCACAGCCUUUUUUCCAGUCUUUGGGCAAAGUCUUUAGUGGUCAGUAAAUAAGCUUAAGUGGUUGAGACGGACCCAUUAGCUCGUGGGUGAGGAGCCGAGUGCAUGGAACCCUCCUCAGCCUCCCAAGUGGGCAGUUUCCCUCUGCAUUUCCAGCAGUUCAACAUCGUGGUUGGUUGGCUCUUUCACGUUCACAGCAGGGUCUCUGGGGUCUUCUGAGGGGUGGGCAUGAAGCUCCUCCCAGAUUCGGCCCGUGUCUAUACUUGCCUUGCCUGUGGUUUUCCUUCAGGAGGUUGUGAGCAGUGAGGUGUAUCAGGACAGCUCUCUGGAAGGGUGGCCAAGCUGAGGGACAGCAACCUGCUCACUCUUCAGGAGAGGCCUCUGGGCUUGGCUUGUGCUCUAGGCUCACAUGGAAAGUUCCAGAAGGAGAGGGUGGUCUGAGCAUCUUUCUCUGGGUGGCUUGGCUGAAGGGAAGACUGUCAGGGAUGCAGUGUGGCUUCAAGGCUGCUAGCCACACUUUGGGGCAGUAGAGGUGUGGGGGCUUACUGGCAUCAGGUCCUUGAGAGGGAGCCUUGGAUAUCAGAUCUGAGGGCAGAGCCCUGUGCUCCAGAUGCAUUUGUCCUCAGCACUGGGCCUGCACAAAGCUGGUGCACAAUUCCCAUUUGUUCAGUGACUGAAUUAACUCAUUCAGCAGACAUUAGGGCCUGCUCCCUGCCAGGCACUCCUCUAGCCCAAAGAUGUCACAGAGAACAAGACAGUUAAGGCCCUGCUCUGGAGAUGCCCACAUCCUGGGACUGAGUGAACAGGGAGGUCCACAGCCCCCCAGGGAUCUGGGGGGCACCUCUGUCGACAAAGCAUCUUCUACUGGGAUCUCUGAGGGCUGGGGUGGGAGGCCAGGCAGUGCUGUGCAGAUGGGAACCACAGCCAUGAAAUUAAAGAAGGCAGCAGCAGGAGUAAGGAGGGAGAUCAGCGGGCCUGCGAUGUACAGGCCCUGGGGCCAGGUGCUUCCCAGAUGGCGCUUCACUUAAUCCUUCCAAAGACCCAGUGAGGCCCUGUUAAGGUCCCCAUUUACAGACUGGGAAACCAGAGCACCCCUAGGAAGGGAGGACUCACUCUCAGCUCAGCCUGUGCUUCAUCCCCAGAAAGGAGCUGUGGUGAGGCCUCUGAGAGGAGUGCCACGGGCUCCAGGGCUAUUGGGUUGUUGGUGCAAGCAAGGAAAAGUUCACCCCAGUUGCUGAGGCCACGAGGUGCUUGUGGUAUGCUGGUCUCUCCCACCCUGCAGACCCAGGCCUCUGGGAGCUGGAGUCAGCCCAGCAUGUUGGCUGGUGUCCACGUCUGGGGACAGACACCCCUGGUGGCUCAGUUGAAAUGAACGUGCGGCAGAAAGAGCAGCCCUCCUCCAGCUGCUCCCUGCCAAGUAAAGGACACCCUGGCCUUAGUGAGUGGCCUUCCCAGCCCCAUCAUAGGCCUGGGGAUGGUGGUGGCAGGGCAGGCUUCCUGCAACACUGACCUUGAGCUCAGAGCCAGAGAAGUCAAGGUGUUAGAUUGGGUUUGAAUUGUCUCUGCUGCUUGCUUUUUGUGUAACCCUGAGCUAGUCACCCAUUCUUCCAGCCUGAAUUUCACCCUCUGCAAGACAAGAUCGAUGAUAACUCAAGCACGGGGGUGUGAUAAGAGUUAACAUAAAUAAGAUUAGUAAAACACUCAGCAGUGUCUGUCAUGUAGUAAAUGCUCAGUAAUUGGUAGUCAUCAUUAUUGUUGUUAUUAUAUUAUAGUUAUAUUAGAUUAAAAUUGGUCAUGGAACUGGGCUGGGCUGUAACUCAUCCUUUAUUUGGAGGCCGAGUCAUAUUUCCCAAGGAUGCACAGUGCACAGAUUCUCACAGCAAAUAGAGCUGUCAGAUUUUUAUGGCAGAGAAUUCCAAACUUCGUUGUAAUCAGAACAUCUGAAAAGCUUGUUAAAAAUUCAGGGUUUUGGGUUUUGCCCCGUUCUAUUCCUUCCUGAGAGAUUCUGAUCAUGCAUCCAGGGUGAGGUCCUAAAUCAACAUUUUUAAUAAAAUCCGGAGAUGGUUCUGUUGUGGGAAGUCCAAGGACUGGGUUUUGGGAAACAGUGUUUUCUAACCUGCUUCCUCCAGACCCAGUCAGCUUAGGGAUGACUUUCUCCACGGCUGGGCUAUUUCUGUCUAGUCACUAGGGCCUGUAGUCUUCAGUGAAGCUCCUGUUCUCUGGGCAGCCCUGGAGACACACGGACACAUCCUUUCUUCUCAGCUCCCUGUCUAGACACCAUGCAGACCUACAAAAUCUUUUCUCCUUAUAAAACAUGAUUGCCUGUAUCCUGGUGACCACAUUUUCUAAAUUCUCCAAAGAAUUAUGGUUAAAGGAUUUUUUCUCUGGCUUGUGAAUUCAUCUCAAAAGCCUUACAAAGGUAAAGCAAUAUAUUUAUAUUGAUUUGUAUAUUGAAUAGAUUCCUAGGAAAUGCAGAGUAGGGUAGCACAGUGGUUAAAAAUGCAGACUGACUCACAGCUCCAGCCCUGAUUAGCUGUGUGACCUCAGGCAAGCUGUGUGAUCUCUCAGUGCCUCGGUUCCCUCAUGUUUGGAACAGGAGUAACAGCAAUGCCUCUCCCAUAGAAUUAUUAUGAAGAUCAGCAGAGUUGAUCUGGAUAAAGCACUUACAACAGUGUCUGACCAUAGUGAGCAGUGUAUUCAUUUUUAUAUAAAACAUAAAACAUUCUGCUCACUGUACAGAGUAAAAAUGUAACUGCAUGAGAUGGCCUGGACAAAUCCGGGAAGCACCAGCACCACACACAUUUGAGCAAAUUAAAUAAGAAACUUAGGUAGUGGUGCUGCCUGGCUUUGGCCAAGCCCUGUUCUUUUUUUGCCUUAACAUUCUGCCUUGAAGCACCACUUUGUGAAGCUCUGGUCAUUGUUUUUGCAAAGUAGGAAUGCACAAGGCAUAACAAUGGUGUGCACCUACCACAUGAAGUGAAGCUGAACGUCACUUUGCUAAACCCAAUUAGCAGAGUCCGUAAGUCCUUCUCUUUAGAGACUCAUUCUAGCUGUGAUCUAUGUAAGUGGCAUGCAGGGACCAGGAGGCUUUUUUGUUUGUGUCAGUUUUCAUUUCUAGGAUAUGGAGUUGCUGAAGGUCUUGGUGGGUUUCAUCAACUAUGGAGCUGUAGAGGAAGAAGCUGAUGUCAGGAAGGCAGAAGUUAUCAGAGGCCAGAGCAGCAGCAUCUGAUCAGAUCCUAGUGAGGUGUGAGGAUGGCAGGCCCUAGUUUUCUCCCUCAUACUUUCCUCUGUGGGUAGAGUCACCUUGACUCUCUUGGGAGGCAGGAUAGAAACCUGGCUUAGCACUUGGGCUUUGGAGCAGACAGACCUAGUUGAACAACCUGGCCCUGAAUCUACCAGUUGUUUGAUCUUGGGAACUUUGUUUGCUAACCAGUCCAGUCCUAUUCUGUAAAAUACAGAUAAUGAUAGUACCCAUGUCACUGAGCUGUUGGAUUGAGUUCAGUGAGGAAAUGUAUAGAAAAUGCCUGGAACUCAAUAAAUGAAAGCUUUGAUUAUUAGUAUUGCUGAGUGGUCUUUUCCAUGUGUCCAGUUUAGCCCAAGGUCUUGAUAAUUUCGUGUCAUUUCCUCUACAGGCCCCUUAAAAGUGUGGUCAGGAAUAGCUGGAGAGAGAACCUAGGUUGAAAGAUCUGCUUGCUUAGACUAAACCAUGAAUUACUGUAUAUAUGUUUGGAUGGGAAAUGGGUGGAGGACUUGGACCUCCGUGGAUAGGGACCCCCCUCCACAUGGGAAAGGCCCUCCUUGUGAUUUCACACUGCCUCUGUGGGGACUCCAGAGGCAGUUACAGGAAGUGAGGAACAGGCAGAAAAGCAUGUCUAAGCCAGCAGGGCACUGUGAGGCCCCAGGGAGCAGGACAGAGCAUGGCAUACAAUGGUCCCCAGGGAAGAUGCAGGAGGAAGGUGGGAGCCUGGCAGGAAAUGCAUCUACUGGGCAGGCUGCAGCUGAAAGCACCCACACUCCCUGGAGGAAGUCACACGAUCCAGGCAGGAGGGCAAACCUAGCAGGGGUUGGCUGUGGAAGCGUGGCUGGCUGCGUGGUCAGAAGUUCUGGCCAACGGCAUCUGAGCCCAGCCUGUGGGCUGGGGACAGGGCAGGGUUCUCUUCCCUGGGAAAGAGCUGGCAUGAACUUGGUAGCCCUUCUGUGGAAAAUGGAGCCCAUGAGAACCAGGAGUCAGAACUUGGCCUAGGACAUCAGAACUUGGCCUCCAUGGACAACAACGGCAGCACAGAAAAGAAUAACACUGGCGGUUGCAUCUGUUGCUUUGCUAUGUGCUUCAAAUCACAUUAUUUCAAAUAAUCUUCACACCAACUCAAUGCAGAAAAUAUUAUCACCAUGUGACUGUGUAAACUGAGGCUCAUCUAAGUUAACUGACUUGCCUUGUGUUGCAGAGCUGCUCAAUGGCAGAACCAGGGGUCACCGUGUCUGCUCAGUCAGUAUCUCAUGCUUUUACUCAUGGUACCAGAGUGCCCUGGUCUCCAGCUGGCCGGGGGCCAGGGUCUGCCUCACCAGCAGCUGUUCACACUCAUUCUUUUUGUAUUAUGUAAAAAGCACUGCACUGUGGGCCGAGAGCCAUGCAGAUACUCCAUGGGACUUUGGAAGGGAUCUGAUGAAGUUCCUUAUUCAAUUUCCUCAAUUUAAAGACAAGGAAAUGGCAGUUCAGAGAGGCUAACAGCUUUGCCUGUGGUCACUCAGCAAGGCAGUAGUGGAGCCAGGACCCAAACAAGGUCUACUGGCUCCCUGCCCCACGGCAGCCCUGCUGCAUUGUGCUGUUUUCCUCCCAUGCUGCAGAGGACGUGGGCAGACUGCUGCAGGCUGCAUGUGCUGCUGCUGCUGCAUGAGGAACAUCAACAGAAUCCAGCAUUUAAAGGCCACCAGCAUAUCUUGAGGGACAGGUGGCAGGAGUAAUUUGUGUCUGCAGUUGUCUUUGUAAACCCAGCAUGGAGAACAUAUCAAGAAGCCAGCAAGAACUGCACAGGUUCUAUUUGUCUGCUAAUUAGAAUGAAGUAAGUGCCAAUGGAAAAUGGAUUGAGGAAAAGGUGGAAAUUUUCAAGUCACAUAGGAUGGCAGGAGGGGUGGCGAUCUGAUGUCUUGGGCGAGGAUAGACCUGUAUCUCAGUGUGUAUGUCUGUGGCUCUGGCUCGGCUAUUGCUCUCAUCUGUCUCCCUGGCUGACUAAGCAUCUUGAGGACAAGACUGUGUUAUAUUCACUUUCACAUCAGCAGCAUCCAGCACAGAGUCUGGCAUGGAGUUGGCAUUGAGCAAAUGUUUGUUGACUGACUGAAUAAUUGAAACCCAUUACUCAAGAUAAGAGUGAGACAAAAUGGCUGGUGAGUUGCUCUUUCUCCUUUCGUAUUAUGCCUACCAUGGGCUAAUACUUCCUCCUUUAGAGGGUUCUGGCAGAUCUCAUGGUCAUUGUGUGUCUCUUUGAAUAUCGGCCUCCCUUAGGGGCCAUCAGGUUGGCGAUAGGAGUCACCAUUGGAGUUUGUUAGUUCUGACCAGCUGUGGUCAAAGGCCUGAACCAGUUGCCCAUGGCCAAGGGCCUGGACACCAAAGUCCGGUUGCCCUAGUUCAAGUCUUGGCUUCAUCACUUUCCAUGACCUUGGGCAAGCCACUUGACCUCUAUAAGCCUCAGUGUCCUGAUCUGUGACAUAGGGGUGCUAGUAUAGGGUGUGAUGAGGCUGCAUGAGAUGAUGCAUAGUGCUGGCACAUAGCAACACAUCUCAAUCCAUGUUAGGUCUUGUACUAUAAUUCCCUGAGGGGCUGGGAUACAUGACAGACCCAGCCCUACUCCGUCUGCCAGGCAGGCAGUAAGCAAGCCAUGGCCCUGUGCCAUGUCGCCUUUGUUUAGAAGCACAAAGGAGAGCAGGAGACAAUGAGGCAGAGAGAAGAGGCAUCUAUUAGGAAUGGCACUGGGAGAAAAUAUCAGAUACACAGACGUGCACCGGGGCAGGCCAAUGAUUGGAUAACAUUUUUGUUCUGUUUCUUUUAUCCAUAACUUAGUUAUUUAAAGUGCAGGAAAAAAAAAAAAGCCAGAAUACACUGUUUCAUUUGUACAAAUAAGGAUUAUAAAUAGCUGUUGUGGAGAGGAGGUAGAGUAGGAGGCAGUGUGGAGAGAGUGGAGUGCCACGGUGAGCCCUGACUCACUGCCGUGGGGGCCGGGGUCCUGUUGGUCUGGAGACAGUACAUGUGUCUGUCUCUGAGCGAAAAUGUCGCCUCACUCCUGGUGGCUCCUUAGGGAGACCUACAUGGAUAAAGAGCACUGUGGCAUUGGAACAGGCUUGGAGGGCAUUAGUAUCAGAAGGUAUGGCAAAGACAGUAGGAUUUGGAACAAGGCAGACCUGGGUACCUGGGUUUGGAUCCUGGCUUCCUCAUUGACCAGCUGUGAGACUGCUGGCAAGUUGGCUGGGCUCAGCUUCUUCUCUGUAGCCUGCAGGUGAUGACAGAUCACUAACAGGGUGCCCUGAGGAUGAAACAAGCCUCAGAAGCUACUUCAUUCCUGGUGGCAGCUCAACAGAACAGGAGUUCAUUGCCAACUUUGGCAUGAUAGGCAGGUAUUUCUGAGGCCAGACAGCUGUAACAUUUUCUGGGUUCUGGAGAUUACCUAAGGGCUGGGGAGUAACAUGGAUUGGGGGUGAGGGGGGCAGGGCAAUGCACUGGUUAGUCUGAGGGGGCAGAUGUACCCAGACCCCACUUUGACCUCUGAACAGGUCUCAAACUUUGAGCCAUCUGACCUUCCAAAGAAUUAGGCCAGUAAUUAUUAUUAUGACAAUUAUUUAGCACCCUUGUUGCCAUCCAGGUAAUUACCUGGCAUUUUAGUUUCCAUCAGCAGCAUAGACUGUCUGCAAAUUAUCUGCUGUUGAAUGCUCGCCCUGGCCUUGCCAAGAGAGUAGGCUGAGGGAUGUGUUAGCAACUCAGUCUUUCUGAGGCUCCAAUUCUCAACCAUGCGUCAAUCAGAAAGCCCUUGUCCUGGAAUUUAAUAUCAUGCAUGGCUUUGACCAAGGGCCAGCCUUGAAGCAGCUCAGUGAGAAGCCCUCUGUGUUUUUCCAGGACUGCAGCCAUAGACAUAUUCCAUUAUGUUGUUCAAGAUGAUCUGAGCUCAGGCAUUGACCAGCUUGGCUCUCUUCAUGACUGGUGAGCUUUGUCUUUGUCUUUAAGAAUGCAAUUGGAUUUUCUUCUUAGCUUCAGUUCAGUUUUAUGAGCAUUGAUUGAGUGCCCACCGUGUGGCCAUGAUUAUGUUCUGUGUAAGGAGACUGAGAAAUAGCGCAGGGGAGUGGAAAGAGCCAGGGCUUGAACUCACCUGUGGCUGAACGCCUCUCACUGCUCAUUAGCUGUGUGCCUUCAAGAUAGUUAUCUGAAGCCUCUGAGCCUUGGUUUCUCACUUGUAAAAAGAGAUGAACAAUGAUCUACGUGGUUUUUAGAAUGGAGAAGUGGUUGUAAAGUCCGUGCUCCAGCUCAGGUACUCAAUGAAUGAUAGUCAUCUUUUCCUGUUGUUCCUCUCUCCUCUCCCCUCCCUUCCUCUUCCCUGCUUUCUCCUACUUUUUUUUUUUUUUCCUUGCCCUCCAGGAACUUAGUGUUGAGCUGUUGGGCCAGGUGGAGACCUAGGUUAAUCAUUUCAAAAUGGUGUCAAAAUGGGAGUAAAUGGGGCACUCUGGGAUUCAGAGAUGGAUGCCCAAAGAUAGUUUUCUCGCUGUCAGCCUUGCAAGUUCAGGGAAAAGGUGUAUCCUAUGCACGUGUUCAUGACACACGCACAUACACAGCUGCAAAUGUGUAGAGACUGCAGGUUUAUAGUACCUGCACUCACACACACGUGUGUAUACAUACACAAAACACAUACAUAUCCUCACCUAUCAGAAGGGCCCUGACCCAAAGCAGCAUACACCCCAGUUGUUUACAUGAAAGGAUCACAGUGAACAGAUUGAGCCAGAGUUAAGGGAGCAAGUGAGAGGGUGAGAGACCCGGAGACUCACAGCAGGAGGGAGCUCUUGUUACACCUAGGGCUGGCUGGACAAGGGGAGAACUAGUGUUACCAGGGUAGGGUAGGAACCAAAGCUUUGGAAGCGAUGCUGCCUGGUGCAAGGUACAGUCACUGUGGAGACGUGGACCCAAAGCACUGCAGGAGAGGAAGAAAUACCCUGACCGCUCUGCUACCCUGUGAUCCCCUAUGGAUGGCUUCCCUUGGCUGAGCCUUACUGAGGAGGCUGGGUGCUGCAUAGGCAGGGGCCUCCUUCCUGGGCACAGAGCCUGGCAGAGAAAGGGGGAAAGUAACCAGCCCAAUGUGUAUACACUUGUGUACACUCAUGUAUAGGCAAGCACAGGUUGUCUGAGCUUCUUCCUCCAGGGCACUCAGGAUUGGGGAAGGAAGAGGGGAACAGGCAGGGGUGGUGCAGCUGGCAUGACUUCCAAGCCCCUCCCACAUGUCUGCAAUGCUGGCAGGGUUCCUAGACCUGUGCUGUGGACGGGGCUUCCUGCAGGGUUUUCUCAAAGCCUGUAUACUGUGCUGCCUCAGUUGCUUAUGAGAAACCUUGAUUGGCUUCUACACUGCCUGGCUGUUGCUGAAGGCAGUUAUGGAUUUACACAUAUUCAGGAUAAAUCCCCGUGUAGUGUCUUUCCCUUUCUACUCCAGCAGCACACUCAGGAGGGGUGAGAGGUACAGUGCAGGUAGCAGGCAAUGGCCUGUAGCAGGCAGGGGGCUUGUCCUCAGAGUAGGCCCCAGCCUGGGGCGCGGGCAUGGCAUCACAGUGUUGUCCUCAGUGAGUGCCUAGUUCCUGCCUUUGUUUCCUCGAGGCCCCCAGAGGCUGUGGUAGGCUCUCUCCCACUUGACCCUACCUCCUUGGCUCUGCCCUUUUCCAGUGCUGCUAGUCUCAGUAGGACUUUUGCCAGGAAGUGGGAGCUGGUGGCUCCAGGCUGAGCUUCUGUGGGGCACCCAGUGGACAGUACGUCUGUGGUGCUGGUUGACAAGAGAACUCUGUGCUCUCCACCCAGCAGCACAGCUGACCAGAGUGGCUGUGUGUUGUGAACACUGAAGGGCUCUACAGGUGACUUUGUCCAAGUGCUGGGCAGGUAGAAUGGAGGUCAGGAACUUGGCCUCCAGUCCCAGGUCUGUGCGGUCUGGGAGGUCUGGAGAACUCCUUAGUCUUUUGCCCGCCUUUUCUUUUCCUCUGGAGGAUGCCUGUGGCACGCCUGUUUGGAUCCGAUGGACUUCCAGAAGGGUUAACUGAAAAAUGCAUUCCAGAUCACAAAGCUCAUGGGUCUGUCCUGCCCACUGGCGUGUUGAGCAGGGUCUGCCCAGAGUGCUGUAUGGAUUCAGGUCCAGUUGAUGUUGCCCUGAUGACUGCUGACAGCACCCACGGCUUGAAGGUGUCUCCUGGAGGCAGAGACAGGGCCCCGUCAGCAGCCCGGGGAAGAGGACAACCUUCCUGUUUGCUGUGGACAGAGGGCAUUUGUUCACUUAAAAAAAAUGCCUUAAGUUAUUAAGUGCAUGCUGAAGAUGGCAGGAAUCUAGGGGCCCCUUCCCCACUCUGUCUGAGUUGCUUUAGGGCUGGAAUUUGCUUGCUCCAGCCUUCCCUCCUCUCUGGCUGGCCUGGCCUCCUUGCUAGAGGCAUCACAAGCCCGUGCAUGUGAAUGAACCUGUGCUGGGGAGGAGGGGAUGGAGGGCCUGGCCCUGGGGCACAGUUAAGGCGUUGACUUCAAGAAAAGCUGCUCACGUGGGAUGUCAGUAUGUCUGUGAUACCUGAGCUGUCUCCCAGCUGCCUUGCUCAAGCACCCUUCCGUGCUGAGGACUGGACUCUGAAGAACUUCAGGAAGAUGCAGGAAUGUUUCUGUAGAAGAAUUCAUACUGAGUAUGAAAGCCAAAGACAGUUAAACCUGGGUAAAGACAUAUAGUCAUGUACACACUCACACACAUACACACUAACACGCAUACACACUCAUACAUAUGUAGUCACUCUCUCAGACGCUCACAGACAUACUCAUACACAUUCACACAUAGGUACACAUGCAUACAUAGGCACAUGCUCAUAUACAGUCUCUCUCCUUCCCCCUCUAACAUGCAUGUGCACACAUUGCAGCAAACAUGAUCUGCAUAUGUCUGUGUGUGUGAAUGUGUAUAAGGAGAUUAUUAUAAAGAAUUGGCUUACACUAUUACUGAGGCGGAGCAGCCCCAAGAUCUGCAGUUGGCAAGCUGGAGGUCUAUGGGAGACCAUGAUGUAGUUCUGAGUCUGAAGGCCUGAGAAUAAGGAGAGCAGAUGGUAUAAGUUCCAGUCCAAAAGCUGGCAGGCUUGAGACCCAAGAACAAAUGUUCAGUUCAAGUUUGAAAGCAGGAAGAGUCCAGUGUUCCAGCCCAAACAGUCAUGCAGGAGGGGUUCACUCAUUCAUAGAAGGGUCAGCCUUUUGUUCUAUUCAGGUAGGUCUUCAACAGAUUGGAUGAAGGCCACCUACAUAUAGUCAAUCUACUGAUUCAAAUGUUCAUCUCAUCCAAAAACACCCUGAGGCAUAUCCAGAAUAAUGUUUGACCAAAUAUCUGGGCACCCCAUGGCCCAGACAAGUUGACACAUGAAAUCACAUCUGGUACCUGGUGACUUCAUGCAUUAAUAGGUGUCCUGGUGCAACACAGGGCAGGCACUAGUAAUACCUCCUGGAACUUUUGGUCAACCCCUGGAAUACAGAAGAGGUUGUUAUCUUGGAUGGGCCCUUUAGUCAUGGAGCUAGCCAGGUGUCUUGGCCAAGCCCCACACUAGCCUUGAGGACCUCUCGCAGUAGCAGAAUGUCAAAGCUCUGCCCAUCAGCUUGUCUGAAAUGACACUUCUUAUCUUUCACCUGUUCACUCCCUGGGUUUAACAGCAAUUUUUGCCCCAUGGUUUGCACCAAAAGCUUGGGCAUUUUCUUUGAAACUCCCAUGCCCUCUUCCCUUAUAUCCUUUUUGAAUCAAGUCCUGCCAGUUUCUUCCUUUUUAAUAUUUCAUUCUCAAAUCUAUCACUUUUCUCUCUCUGCCCAUUAGUAUCACCUGGGUCCUAGCUCCCAUCAUGUCUUUCUACUUUCCUGCACCUACCUCCUCAGUGGUUCCCUUGUUCUCAGUCUUGCCCCACCUAGCCCAUCAUCCACAUGUUUGUCAGGGAGAUUUGUGAACAAAAAGAUCUGACAGUAUCAGUCUCUGAUUAAUUCCCCUUAUCACUUUCUCAUUGCUUUGUAGAGUUUGCAAGCUGAUUCCCUAAAGGCCAAAUGCAGCUCACAGUUACAUAAUCUGAUUGCCUUUACAACUGAAGAAAGACAAUGAAAGAAGUAACUAUACAUGCCAGAAAGGGAGCAGCAGCUGCAUUUUUAAAGGAGCAUCAAAGACCCCAGGAGUCUACUUGCUGCCUCACAGGAAGCCAGCCCACAACAUCCCCUUGCACGCCACACAGGCCCUGGGUCAUCUCUGGGACUGUUCAGGUCUGCUCGAGUUGAAGUGAGAGAAAGAAGGAUGCGGAGAGAGGGAAGGAAGGAGGGGGAGAGAGAGAACUUAAAUGUGGUAAGAUGUUAAUAAUUGAUUAAUCUAGAUGAAAAUUAUACAGAUGUUCAUUGUGCACUCUUACAACUUUUCUACAGGGUUGAAUUUUUAGAAUUAAUAUGCUAAAACAGAGCAACAGCAACUCUUUGUGUAGCAAUAUAGAACAAUGUAUGUGCUUAGAACUGUGAACUCAAAUUGGCAUGAAGUUAACCUCACAUGCAGUUAAGCUACCCUGGGCCAAACGUACAUAUCCCUUGCUUAAUAAAAGAGAUGUGCACUAUAAAUUGGCUGCAAAGUGGAUUGUGGUAGUUGAUCCUGUUUUCUCACUGGUUUCCAUUAAAAAGUGGGGAAUAAGGUCUAAUAGAUAGAGGUGAAAAGGUUUGCUAAGAGAAGGGUUUCCCAUGAACUGUCACUCUAUGGCAUGCAUCCCUGGGGGUAUUUGUAAGAGUUUUAGGUAGACAUUUUCUUGGUUACAUACUUUGAUUCCCCUAGUGUUUUCUUCAGUUUCCUCUUGCUAAGGUAAUGUGUUCUGCUGUGCUUGGAGGUUUCUAAUCGCCCAUCCCCACCUACUUAUAGCAGCCCCUUGGACAGUGUUCCCAGCAGGUCUCUCCUCUCACCAGGUCUAGGAGGAAUAGGCUGCCAUGUCACUCAUUGUCAGUAAGCGUCAGUGAUCAACAGCUUUAACAUUCCCUAAGUCUGAAGCUUCAGGGUCUGGAGAAGAUAUCAGUAAUCUAUCUUAUCAAUCCUGUGAACUAAAAUUCAUUUAAUGUAUUUAAAACCAAAGGAUACUUUUAGAGAAAUUAACAUUCUGGGUCUUUCACAUUGCACCCAUAGGUAACACCUCAAAUGGCCUUGGAUUAUUCAAAAACAAUAUUGGAAACUAGAAAAAGAUAGAGCAAGGACUUUAACAUUCUAAGGGAAAAUAAUUUUCAGUUUGGGAUUCUAUACCCUCCUAAACUACUAAGUGUGAAUGCGGAAUAAAGUUAUUGUUUUAAAUUCACAGCAGAAGAGGGGUGGGGAGGGGAGGCAAAAUAUAUUUGUGAAAGAGAGUUAAAACUUUACCUUCUGUUAGAGAAAGUCAAUAGAAAAUGCUUACAACUGAAAAAAAAAAAAAAGUCAGGAAGAAG